ensembl:snoRNA
AUGCUGUUGAAAUGAUGAUUUUCUCAUGUCUCUUCUCUGACAGAAUAAUGUAGAGAGCAUAAACACCUCUGAUCUCAGCAU